rnacentral:rRNA from 1 species
CGAAGAUACCAGCUGGCUGCAACUGUUUAAUAAAAACACAGCACUGUGCAAACACGAAAGUGGACGUAUACGGUGUGACGCCUGCCCGGUGCUGGAAGGUUAAUUGAUGGGGUCAGCCGCAAGGCGAAGCUCUUGAUCGAAGCCCCAGUAAACGGCGGCCGUAACUAUAACGGUCCUAAGGUAGCGAAAUUCCUUGUCGGGUAAGUUCCGACCUGCACGAAUGGCGUAAUGAUGGCCAGGCUGUCUCCACCCGAGACUCAGUGAAAUUGAACUCGCUGUGAAGAUGCAGUGUACCCGCGGCAAGACGGAAAGACCCCGUGAACCUUUACUAUAGCUUGACACUGAACAUUGAGCCUUGAUG